UAGAUUUGCAAAUGAUAAUCGAUCAAAAGGUAAAAAUUUCAAGGAUAUGCCCAAAUAAAUUUCAGUUCAAACUAAAACAAAAAUCUCAAAAAGGCAACAUUCAGAACAUGAAUAACAAGGCUAUUUCCAGCAAUUUAAAUGAAACAUACAAUAAUCAAACUCAAUUCUACAACUUCAAGCAACUUUUAAGAAAUUGAAUGUAUAUGCUGGAAUAAAUGAAGUAGAACCUCCCCUUUUUUCCGUUCAAAUGAAGAUAACUCUCUGACAGUCUGCUAACAAAGUCACCUUGGAACUGAUAGGCCUAGCUCUAAUUCAAGAAACAAAAAGUUCAUAUAAGAAAACAAUACGAGCAAAAUACCCACUUGAUGAUAAAUAAAAAAAAUCUCUCUUAAGCAUUCAAUAAAAUAAAAUCAUUGAUGCUUAACGAUCCCAGUUUAUUAACUUUCUCUAAAAACAGCUAAAGUAAUCAAUAGAAAAUCAAAGAAGAGGCUAAUUCUGGCAGGUUGAUGGUUGAUUCAUCCUGAGACAUGUAGUAUAGAGGUAGCAUAAAUAUCCUUGAAAUUAACUUCCAAGCAGAUGACGGAGCCCAUCUUGAAAAAAUGUUUCACGUUCCAUCAAUUUCAUCUGGGAAAAAGGAGAACUGUUUGUCACCAGGCUUAUCAAACUAAUGCAUUAUGCACAAUCGCUCAAGUAGAAAUGCUGAUACCAAAUUCACAUGCUUUUGAAUCUACUGUUAUUGUGUCACCUCUCUCUCUUCCUAGAACAUUUUUAAGUGGAUAUAUAAAUCCCAUUUUGAGAUAGAAUGAGGGAAUUAAAAGUUUGGUGAACUACUUCAGAAGGAUUUCUUUUAAAAAAUCUACACUAAAUUUUAGAAAAAAGGUACAGAAACUUUAUAGGUUAAGUUUCAUAAUGAACUGAUUUUGACUAAGCAGACAAAUAAUUUUUCAGCCGCGCAAAUGGUUCCAUCAAUUCCGCUGCAGAGAAUUCUUCUCUCCAGAAAUUUGUGUUAUUUAGGCACCAAACAAAUUCAAUGUCAACGAAGAGUAUGAAAAUUCAACACAUUUCCAUUAACAAACAAAUCUCCAAACACAGUUAGCAGAUAGGUCAAAGUUGAAAUCGAUGACGUGAAAAUUAAAAGCUAGGUGUUAUAUAUAAAUCGGCAAUAAAUAAGAUCACUGCAGAUAUUUUAUUUGUCCACCAAAAUGUAGCCAAGUCCCUUGCGUUAAAAAAAUUCUUAAAUAUAAGAUAAGUCAUGCAUUUAUUGUUCUCUGCAUCCCCAAAAUACGAGUAUAAAACUCAGUUUCAUAAAAUUGUUAACCAAGCUUUAAUACAUGAGCAUAACACAAUGAAGCAUUACAGAGACCUUGUAAAAUUCUGGUAUUUCUUUCAAGCAUUUGGAAAUUCAUGUGCCUGCAGGAACCAAAUAUUCCAGUCAGAUAGCUUCAAUGCCUUUUACCCCAAAACAUAUGCCUAAAUUGUUCAUUAAGGACGUUGAUUAGGAGAUAGGAUAACAACUCCAUAACUAAAAAUAUA
rnacentral:lncRNA from 1 species